GACAGAGGAUGCAAGCGUUAUCCGGAAUGAUUGGGAGUAAAGCGUCUGUAGGUGGCUUUUCAAGUCCGCCAUCAAAUCCCAGGGCUCAACCCUGGACAGGCGGUGGAAACUACCAAGUUGGAGUACGGUAGGGGCAGAGGGAAUUUUCGGUGGAGUGGUGAAAUGCAUUGAGAUCGGAAAGAACACCAACGGCGAAAGCACUCUGCUGGGCCGACACUGACACUGAGAGACGAAAGCUAGGGGAGCAAAUGGG
rnacentral:rRNA from 1 species